CGUUGUGACUAUACUUGAGACCUUAGAAAUUAUAUCUCAAGGUGGGUGGCGCAUUUGCGUUGUAGAUGUUUAGCUCGUCCACCCAUCUAAGCAAUAAAUAAAAAACACAAGAGUCGCGAGAGACUCAGCGAGCUGGUAUUAUGGGUUAGGUUCCACAACCAACUCUUCGACGAAUACGUUUACCAGGGUCCCUAAGCCUGCUCCUAGUGUUAGGAAUUCAGGCGUCUAGUAAGAUGAUUAGGGGAUUGCUAAGGACGUGUAAAUCGUUUAUCCUGAACGUAAAAACCCAUUCAAGUCGACUCGAGCGACCGUUAUACUAAACUUUACCCCGACGUAUCCGAUAACAUGUUAAGGCGUAUUUCAAUAGCAUUAUCGUACUGUGGGCGUAGUUGCAGAUAUAAUAUUACUCAUUCUUUGUUUGUUACUCGAACUGUGCGAUAAUGUCAGUAAUGAUAUCCACGUUUUAAUGUCUCCAGCAUGAUUCAGAUAAGGGGGAACAUGUGGCAUCGAAAAGUCAUCGACAAGUGGGAUGGUGUUUAAAACUCAAACUAAAAAGCAGAAACAAGAAAUCUAGAAUCAAAUUACUAGAAGGAUGGCUGUAUGGAUAGCUGUCCCCUUUCUAUUUAUGAUGGAGUAAUAAAAAAAAAACUUACCGGAAGUUCGAGAACCAUUUGACGAGCUGCGCUGUGUUGUUCUUGUUAAACUUGAUGUCGGGGAAGUACAUCUUGAGGACGGCUGAGCUCGGAUACCGGACCCAGAAGAACAUGAGCUUCGCUUUGCGCAGGUGCAUCGGCGUUAGCGUUGAGGAGUGCAACGGAGUCAAGGAAUUAUCGAUAAAAGUUGUCACAUAGUUAACGGUAGAUGGCGCUGUACGUACGUAUCGCUCUGAAUUAUCACUAAUUAAUUUGGAAUUUUCAUUAAUUUUAAUUGUUUUAGAACUAAUAAUUUUGAACAUUGUUAAUUAUUUUAAGAAUGAAAUAUAUUAAUAAUAACUUUAUAUUUGUGUAAUCAUGUAGUUGCAGCUAGGUGAUAAUUAUUUUAUGAGAUUGUCAAAAUUUAAUAUGUAGAUAAUAAACUCGAUCAGGAAAAACGUAGCUCUAAUUUAAUAAAAUAACGUUGAAAUAAUCGACAAUAUUUUGUGUCUGUUAGCCAUAUUAAAAUACAAUUUAAAUUU